GGCUCCUGCGAGAAGCUGCUGGAAGCUUCCCCCGUGUCCUCCAGAGCCAAUGGCUGAUGGCUCUGAAGGUGCUGCUGGGCCAAUGGGAGAGGCUGGUAACGCCUCUGUGAUGACAUAUUUAAGAACAAAAUCAGAACAAAGUUAGGGUUUUGCCUCCGGUCAGAGAAGAUCAGGAGGUGGGAAUGUGUGAGGGGAGCAACAUGGCAACACCAAGGUCAGUGGAGAAGGAGGGGAGGAGGUGUUCCAGGCGCCAGAGCCGAGGUUCCUCUUCAGGCUGUGGUGAGACCAUGGUGAAGCAGCUGUGCCCUGCAGCCCGUGGGGAAGGUGCCCAAGCCAGAGCAGGUGGAUGCCUGGAGGAGGCUGUGAUCCAGGGGAGGACCCCGUGGAGAGAGGGGGUCCCUGCUUUCCCUGCUGGAACAGCCUGUCCUUGGAGGACUGCAUCCUGUGGGAAGAGCUACGUCGCAGCAGUUUUGGACUGUCUGCCCAUGGAAGGGGCUCAUGCUGCAGCAGGUGCCUUUUGGCUGCUGCUUGUGAGAGUGGACCCACACCAGAGAAGUUAACAGAGAGCUGUCUCCUGUGGGAGGGACCCCACGGUCUCACAGGAGCCUAAUUCAGGGAGUGGAGUCCUGUCCCUGGAUCCAUUAACACUGACAGACAGGAUGGAGAGAUGGAAGAGGAGAACAUCAUCCAGAUUUUGUAAAAGUAACAGAAACUUAUGUUAACAGAAAUUCUUUCACUGGCUGGAGUGAACUAGCUUGGAAGAUUGCAAAUUCAAAAGGAGGGAGCUCUUCUCCAUCUCAUUUUUCUUUCCCUCAGUCCUGUCUCUGCAGUCCUUGCUCAGCUCACCUUGAUGUUUUGCUGGAGCUUUUGUGAAUAACUUCAUUUCAGCAUCUCAGCAAAAAUGCUUACAAAACUGUAGACCAACUGUAGCUUAUCAGCAUUUUGCCAGGCUGAUAAAUAGAAUUGGCUCAGCAAGGUAUCCUCAAAUCCAUGUAACACAAGGGAGGGGAGGAUUCAGACAAGAAGCAGGGGAAUGGACAGUGGAAUUGUCACUUUUGCUAGCAGAAAGUUACUCAGGCAUCUUUGCUGCUCAGAGGAAUGUAACAGAAAACUUAAAAAAGGUGUCACUGCUCCUUAUCAUCUGGGAGAUCAUCCAAGUCCCAUUAAAAUAAUUAAGUUUCCAGACUUGUCUUAAUGAUGCCUGAAUCAGAUGUUGUAUAAACAGACUGGUAAGUCACUACAAAAACUUAGUUUACUAGAAACAAAUAAGCCAACUCUGAUCUUUGAUAUGGGUGUAUAUUAUUCCAGAAUUGUAAAUAUUUAGGAAUCGAAUACACACCCUAAAUUUAAAAAGCACUUCUUAUGUACCUAUUUUCCCACAGAGAGUAAAAGCUAGCAAUUCCCAGGAGCUAUCUUGGGAUUUGGACCUGAUUCCAAAUCAGGUAAGGAAGACAAUACACUGGCACGUCUGAGCAGGGAUCUGUUGGUCAAAUUAAAGGGAAAGAAGAAAAUACAUAGGUAGCUGAACCUAGGAUGGUGAUCUGGGACAAGUAUAGAGAUGAAAUAUAGUUGUGAAGGGAUGGGAAGAGGGAGGCCAUAGCAAAGAUGGAAUUGAACCUUGCGAAGGACUCAAAAAAUAAUAAAGGUUUCUACAGAUAUGUUAACCAGAAAAAGAAGGUCAGAGAAGGUGUAGAAGCUUCAUGAACAGUGCUGUAAAACUCGUAACAACAGAUGAGGAGAAGGCUGAUGUACUCAACAAUUUUUUGGCCUCAGUUUUCAAAGUCAGACUCUCUUCCCAAGCCUCUUAAAUGGGUGCCAAGCAGGAUAGGGACUGGAGGAACAAAGAGUGUCCCACUGUAAGUGAAGAUUAGGUUCAUAACCUGAGGAACUUGAAUGUUCAUAAGUCUCAUGAGAUGCAUUCUAGAAUCCUGAGGAAAUAGGCUGAUGUAGUUGCCAAACUAUUCUCUGAGAUGCUGGAAGUGACAUGAGAGUCAGAUGAAGUCCCAGGUGACUGGAAUAAGAGAAAUAUUGUACCUAUCUUUAAACAGCGUAGAAAGGAGGAGUCUGGGAACGACCAACCCGUCAGCCUCACCUCUGUCCCCAGGAAGAUGAUGGAAUAGUUCCUCAUAGAACCUAUGCUAAGACACGUGCAGGGCAGGGAGGUGGUUUAGGACAGUUAGUACAGCUUCACCAAGGUAAAAUCCUGUCUGAACAACCUUCUAGGAUGGAGUCACUGGAUGAGGGAAAGGUAAAGUUGCAUUUAUCUGGACUUACGUUAAGCCUUUGACAUGGUCCCCUGCAAAAUCUCUCUUUCUAGAUUGGAGAGAGAUGGAUUAACAGGUGGACUGUUAGAUGGACAGGAAGGUGAUCAGAUGGGGGCAGCCGGAGGCUGGUGGUCAGCAUCUCAGAGUCCCAGUGGCCAUUGGUGACAAGUAUCCCUCAGGGAUCCAUAUUGGACAAGUAUUAUUUAGUACGUUCAUUAAUGACAUAGACAAAGCCAUUUGGUGCACUCUCAGCAAGUUUGCAGAUGACACUGAGCUGAGUGGUGCAGUUGAUAACCAAGGGAUCCGACCCAGCCAGCAUGGGCUGUGGCCAUUGGGGCUGACUGACCAGCUUGGUAUUUUAUGACGGGUGAUUUGUCUAGUGGGUGGGGGAAAGGCUGUGGAUGUUGCCUGUUUGGACUCCAGCAAAGCCUUUGACACUGUCUGCUGCAUCAUACUCUUAGAAAAGCUGUCAGCCCACAGUUUGGACAGUGCCAUUCUUUGCUGUGUUAAGAACUGGCUGGAUGGCCAGGCCCAGAGUGUGGUAGCAAAUGAUGGUAAAUGGUGAUAUGGAAUCUAGUCACUGGAGAAAAGCACCUUUUCUUAGACAAAGGAGAUGUUCUGUUAUGCUCCUGCCCCUAAAAAUUUCCAUAGUAAAAUCUACUUGGCACUUAUCUCGAUUGUACUAUAAUGUAAUUUGUAUUCAUCCAAACUCAACAUUUAUUAUUGAAGAUGGCAGCUACUGCAAUUCAAAACUAUGUAAGCUAAUAAUUUUAAAUGCGAUAUUUCAUGUGUUUAAUGUAUGAAAACCCUAUUAUUCAUCAAUUUGGCGUGUUUUUGUAGUAAUAGUCACUUUAGAAGUUAUUGUAGUGUUAUUAAAUGUUAUUAUGUGUUUUAAAACUGUUGUUAAUUUAAUCCUAUAAAUAAUUUAAGGAAAUAAAACUUUCCACAUCUAAAAAUAUGGAGAGUGAAGCUAGUAAUUUAGUCAGUGCCUUUAUUCAGUUUCCUAUCAAAUUCUGCUUCCAUUUACUUGUGCAGCUGUUCCUUCUGUUCCUUCCCUGUUCCUGCUGUACUAUGAAUUUCUGUACAUUUCUUGUUCAAAGAUUAGGACUAGUAGUUUUGGAUGCCUCUCUGUAUGCAUUUAGUAUAUGAAGUAAAAUAAAAUUUUCAGUACGUGAAA